GACGAACGCUGGCGGCGUGCUUAACACAUGCAAGUCGAACGGUGAAGCGCCUUCCUUUUUGGUGGGUGUGGAUGAGUGGCGAACGGGUGAGUAACACGUGAGUAACCUGCCCCCUUCUUCUGGAUAACCGCAUGAAAGUGUGGCUAAUACGGGAUAUUCUGGGUCUGUCGCAUGAUGGGUCUGGGAAAGAUAUUGUUUCGGUGGGGGAUGGGCUCGCGGCCUAUCAGCUUGUUGGUGGGGUGAUGGCCUACCAAGGCGGUGACGGGUAGCCGGCCUGAGAGGGUGGACGGUCACACUGGGACUGAGACACGGCCCAGACUCCUACGGGAGGCAGCAGUGGGGAAUAUUGCACAAUGGGCGCAAGCAUGAUGCAGCGACGCCGCGUGAGGGAUGGAGGCCUUCGGGUUGUGAACCUCUUUCGCCAGUGAAGCAGGCCUGCCUCGUUUGUGGGUGGGUUGACGGUAGCUGGAGAAGAAGCGCCGGCUAACUACGUG
rnacentral:rRNA from 1 species